rnacentral:RNase_P_RNA from 1 species
GGAGUUGGCCAGGCGACCGCGGGCGCGCGGCGACGAGCCCGCCGCUCGAGGAAAGUCCGGACUCCACAGGGCAGGACGCUGGGUAACGCCCAGGCGCCGUCAGGCGCGGAAAGGGCAACAGAGAGCAGACCGCCAAACGCCCCCUGUCGCCGACAGGGUGCGUGGCAAGGGUGAAAGGGUGCGGUAAGAGCGCACCGGCACCGGCGGCAACGCCGGUGGCCAGGUAACCCCCGUCCGGAGCAAGGCCAAGUCGGCGCGCGAUGAGGUGGCCCGCCCACGCGCCAGGUAGGCCGCUGGAGGCCGUCGGCGACGGCGGUCCCAGAUGGAUGGUCGCCGCCCGCCCUUCGCGGCGGGCACAGAAUCCGGCUUAUCGGCCGACUCCCCGG